rnacentral:rRNA from 1 species
UACAUAGGUCUCAAGCGUUGUUCGGAUUCAUUGGGCGUAAAGGGUGCGUAGGCGGCGCGGUAAGCCGGGUGUGAAAUCUCGGAGCUUAACUCCGAAACUGCAUUCGAUACUGCCGUGCUUGAGGACUGGAGAGGAGACUGGAAUUUACGGUGUAGCGGUGAAAUGCGUAGAUAUCGUAAGGAAGACCAGUGGCGAAGGCGGGUCUCUGGACAGUUCCUGACGCUGAGGCACGAAGGUCAGGGGAGCAAACGGG